rnacentral:tRNA from 1 species
ACCUGGCUGGCUCAGUUGGUAGAGCGUGCAACUCUUGAUCUCAGGGUGGUGGGUUCAAGCCUCAUGUUGGGUG